UAUUUUGGCUGCGUUCUCUGGUUUUGUUUUGACCAUUUUUGGCAUGGGAAUGGGUUUGAUGGCCAGUUAUGAGCAGUCAUCCAGAUGUAUAUGAUCAGAAGAUUUAAGACAUGGUUCGCGCAUCAGCAUAUCCAUCACACUUUGGAGGUGAGUCCCUCCACACACAAUGUUGCUUGUGAUGGUCUCUUCAUCUAAAUUCAUACAAAUCAAUGCAACAACAUAAAAAUUGUUUAUUAAUCUUUAUUAUUGCAUGACCAUGGCAGGUGAAUAUAUUGUUACAAUAUAUAAUAUAUGAUAUUAACCGCCCAUAUAUACCAUGAACCUCUACAAAAUAUGACCCAUCCGGCCAUCCAUAUAUAUUGUAUUGUGAGAUGCAUG
rnacentral:lncRNA from 1 species